CCUACGGGGGGCUGCAGUAAGGAAUAUUGGGCAAUGGACGCAAGUCUGACCCAGCCAUGCCGCGUGAAGGAUGAAGGCCCUAUGGGUCGUAAACUUCUUUUAUACGGGAAAAAACCACAGGUCGUGAAUCUGUGCUGAUGGUACCGUAAGAAUAAGCAUCGGCUAACUCCGUGCCAGCAGCCGCGGUAAUACGGAGGAUGCAAGCGUUAUCCGGAUUCAUUGGGUUUAAAGGGUGCGCAGGCGGAUUAAUAAGUCAGUGGUGAAAUCCUACGGCUCAACUGUAGAACUGCCAUUGAUACUGUUAGUCUUGAGUAUUGUUGAGGUAGGCGGAAUGUGUCAUGUAGCGGUGAAAUGCUUAGAUAUGACACAGAACACCGAUCGCGAAGGCAGCUUACCAAGCAAUUACUGACGCUCAUGCACGAAAGCGUGGGGAUCAAACAGGAUUAGAUACCCCUGUAGUC
rnacentral:rRNA from 1 species